rnacentral:rRNA from 1 species
CUUCAACUGGUGAAUAGCCCGAAGAAAUUCGGAUUAAUACACCAUAGUAUAUAGAGAUGGCAUCAUUUUUAUAUUAAAACUCCGGUGGUUGAAGAUGAGCAUGCGUGACAUUAGCUAGUUGGUAAGGUAAUGGCUUACCAAGGCUACGAUGUCUAGGGGAUCUGAGAGGAUUAACCCCCACACUGGUACUGAGACACGGACCAGACUCCUACGGGAGGCAGCAGUAAGGAAUAUUGGACAAUGGUCGCAAGACUGAUCCAGCCAUGCCGCGUGCAGGAUGACAGCCCUAUGGGUCGUAAACUGCUUUUGUGCGAGAAAAAACCACUCUACGUGUAGAGUGCUGAUUGUAUCGUAAGAAUAAGGAUCGGCUAACUCCGUGCCAGCAGCCGCGGUAAUACGGAGGAUCCAAGCGUUAUCCGGAUUCAUUGGGUUUAAAGGGUGCGUAGGCGGAAUGAUAAGUCAGUGGUGAAAGCCUGCAGCUUAACUGCAGAACUGCCAUUGAUACUGUCAAUCUUGAGUACAUUUGAUGUGGGCGGAAUGUGUCAUGUAGCGGUGAAAUGCUUAGAUAUGACACAGAACACCGAUUGCGAAGGCAGCUCACAAAACUGUAACUGACGCUG